UAUACAUGCAAGUAGAACGCUGAAGAGAGGAGCUUGCUCUUCUUGGAUGAGUUGCGAACGGGUGAGUAACGCGUAGGUAACCUGCCUUGUAGCGGGGGAUAACUAUUGGAAACGAUAGCUAAUACCGCAUAACAAUGGAUGACACAUGUCAUUUAUUUGAAAGGGGCAAUUGCUCCACUACAAGAUGGACCUGCGUUGUAUUAGCUAGUAGGUGAGGUAAUGGCUCACCUAGGCGACGAUACAUAGCCGACCUGAGAGGGUGAUCGGCCACACUGGGACUGAGACACGGCCCAGACUCCUACGGGAGGCAGCAGUAGGGAAUCUUCGGCAAUGGGGGCAACCCUGACCGAGCAACGCCGCGUGAGUGAAGAAGGUUUUCGGAUCGUAAAGCUCUGUUGUAAGUCAAGAACGGGUGUGAGAGUGGAAAGUUCACACUGUGACGGUAGCUUACCAGAAAGGGACGGCUAACUACGUGCCAGCAGCCGCGGUAAUACGUAGGUCCCGAGCGUUGUCCGGAUUUAUUGGGCGUAAAGCGAGCGCAGGCGGUUUGAUAAGUCUGAAGUUAAAGGCUGUGGCUCAACCAUAGUUCGCUUUGGAAACUGUCAAACUUGAGUGCAGAAGGGGAGAGUGGAAUUCCAUGUGUAGCGGUGAAAUGCGUAGAUAUAUGGAGGAACACCGGUGGCGAAAGCGGCUCUCUGGUCUGUAACUGACGCUGAGGCUCGAAAGCGUGGGGAGCGAACAGGAUUAGAUACCCUGGUAGUCCACGCCGUAAACGAUGAGUGCUAGGUGUUGGAUCCUUUCCGGGAUUCAGUGCCGCAGCUAACGCAUUAAGCACUCCGCCUGGGGAGUACGACCGCAAGGUUGAAACUCAAAGGAAUUGACGGGGGCCCGCACAAGCGGUGGAGCAUGUGGUUUAAUUCGAAGCAACGCGAAGAACCUUACCAGGUCUUGACAUCCCGAUGCUAUUUCUAGAGAUAGAAAGUUACUUCGGUACAUCGGUGACAGGUGGUGCAUGGUUGUCGUCAGCUCGUGUCGUGAGAUGUUGGGUUAAGUCCCGCAACGAGCGCAACCCCUAUUGUUAGUUGCCAUCAUUCAGUUGGGCACUCUAGCGAGACUGCCGGUAAUAAACCGGAGGAAGGUGGGGAUGACGUCAAAUCAUCAUGCCCCUUAUGACCUGGGCUACACACGUGCUACAAUGGUUGGUACAACGAGUUGCGAGUCGGUGACGGCGAGCUAAUCUCUUAAAGCCAAUCUCAGUUCGGAUUGUAGGCUGCAACUCGCCUACAUGAAGUCGGAAUCGCUAGUAAUCGCGGAUCAGCACGCCGCGGUGAAUACGUUCCCGGGCCUUGUACACACCGCCCGUCACACCACGAGAGUUUGUAACACCCGAAGUCGGUGAGGUAACCUUUUGGAGCCAGCCGCUAAGUUGAC
rnacentral:rRNA from 1 species